GAAGAUUAAGUGAUCAUAUCCUGGUCAGUGCACGUAAUCUAGCAAUACCAGGUCAGAUUUUAUCUGACUCAUCACUGCUGAAGGGAUUGAAAGUAAAUGUUAGUUUUGAUAGUUACAUACUUGGAAAGAAUUUGGCACACAUCCCACUGACAAUACACACACACACACGCAACCCCAUUUAUACAAAAACACAAAGUGUGACCAAUCAUCCACACAGAAUGCCACAAGCAGCCUCCAUUUAUAGCUAUACUACACUACAAACUACUCAUGAACGUGUACAACCCACAUACACAAGUGGGUUGUUCUAU